GACGAACGCUGGCGGCGUGGAUUAGGCAUGCAAGUCGAACGGUAUCAUCCUUUCGGGGGUGAGAGAGUGGCGAACUGGUGAGUAACACGUAGGUUAUCUACCCUCAAGACGGGGACAACCCAGGGAAACUUGGGCUAAUACCGGAUGUGAGCAACUUUUUAGUUGUUUGAAAGGUGGCGUAAGCUGUCGCUUGGGGAUGAGCCUGCGUCCUAUUAGUUAGUUGGUGAGGUAACGGCUCACCUAGGCAAUGAUAGGUAGGCGGCCUUAACGGGUGGUCGCCCACACUGGGAUUGAGAUACGGCCCAGACUCCUACGGGAGGCAGCAGUCGAGAAUAGUCUACAAUGGUCGGAAGACUGAUAGUGCGACGCCGCGUGAACGAUGAAUCCCUUCGGGGUGUAAAGUUCUUUUAUAUGUGAGCAGUGCUUCUUAUAUUAACAGUAUGGGGAGAGAGAUAUUAGCAUAUGAAUAAGCAACGGCUAAACUCCGUGCCAGAGCCGCGGUAAUCACG
rnacentral:rRNA from 1 species